GUCCAUAUAGCUCAGUUGGAUAGAGCACUCGCCUCCUAAGCGAGGGGUCGGAGGUUCAACUCCUCUUAUGGACG
rnacentral:tRNA from 1 species